GGGUCCUCUGUCCCGAGCCUCGGAGCGCCUCGGUAGCGCGGCCGCUGAGGAGCCGCGGUGGCAGGCUCGUACCCUCCCUGCUCGGCCCUUCUCCACCCUCCAGACUCUUCACGAGCAACCAAGUCUUGCCAACGCUUUUUCGCGGUGCCGGGGCUCUAACCCUCGGGCUCCACCGCCGACGCAGUGCGCCUCUGAGCGCCCUUCCACCUGUCCCGUCAUCUCGCCCAGAGGGGCCCAGGCCUGCGCGUGGGACCGUCUCCCAUCCCCUGCCCCACCCGACCAGGGGGAUAGGAGGUGGAAGGGGUGGCUCUGGCUCGACGCGCGCCCAGGGGCAGGUGUUGGAAAAUGGACUACCUUUCCUCCGCUGCAGCUGGUCUGCAGUCACCCGGAGAAGGUCCCUGGUUCUAAGGAGCCAGAUGGUGGCGUUGGGCUAACCCACAGCUCAAAAGACAAAAUUAACACGUUUAGCCUGAAGGUCUUAAUUGGCUUCAUGCGUGAUUCCUCGUUCUGUAAAAGAACAAGUUAUCCCACGGGCUGAGCGCAGGCUGCAGACCAGGAAGGGCUGAAGCACGCGGAAACGCGGGACUGUCCUUCAGAGCCUUGUCGCGCCCGCUUGAAGAUUUGGCUGUUUUCUCUCCUGACCUCUGGGAAGAUCGGAGUUUAGUUUUGCCUCCGUGGCCCUGAAUCUUUUUGAGCCUGACUCCAUUUUAGUCUAAACUGUUGGGCCUCGAGUGUGCAGGAGUGCACUCUAAACCAGUGGCCUCCUAUAAAUUUUAUUCACGAAUAACCCAGGCUGACCUACCACCUCCAGGUCCUUAACCCCAUUUCCAGUCCCCUUUGCCGUGGAAGGUGCCGUGUCCACAGGUCCUGGGGUUGUGACUUGCACCAAUUGUGGGGCAUCAUCCUACAAGACCUGAAAAAGCUAUAACUGGACAGAUGCACGUGGAAGGGUGUGGGAAGACAGAUGGAUGAUGACAGGGACUUGAGUCCCACUCAGCCCCCUCUCCUCUACCCACAACAGCCCUUGCUCUGGACAGUGCUGCCCUGGGGCCGAUGGUUUCUCUCCCCACACCAGGAACUUGAGGGGUUCAAUGCUCUGCAGCUCAUUGGUGGCUCAAGACCCAAAGGCCCAUACUGCAAUGCCAAGCGGGGCGAUCUGGAGAGGGGCCAGUGCGAGUGUGGAGACUGUCUAUGCCGUGGACCGUGGUUGCCCACCCAGCACAGCACGUGGUGACAUGGGUAGGAUGAGCCCUGUCAGCCUGCAGGGGGAUGCUUUUCUUUGCCAAGUUGUUCACUCCAGGGCUGGGUCAGGGUGAGCAGAGGGUGGGCCUGGAACACCUGUGUAAAGAAUGGAGGCCGAUGAGUGCUGGUGAGCAAGCAGAGCCAUCCGAACCCUGCCCUUGGCUGGCAGGAGUGUGAGAGGGGGCAGUGGUGCUGGAGACCAGGGACUAGGAAACCUGGCAGCUCACUCCUAGGCACAGACCUAGGACCUGAAAGGAGAGGCUCACACAGGCUUGUAGGAAGUCUCACGGCAGCCAAAGGGCAGUAACAGCCCAAGUGUCCACCCACACCUGGAGCAUCACUCAGGCAUGUGGAGUUGCUGCACUGGGGACAGACCCCAAGGAUACUGUGCUCAGUGGGAGAACUAGACACAAAAGGUCACAUUGCUGGGUGUGAUGGCAUGGUCCUGUCAUCCCAGUGACUCAGGAGGAUCUCAAGUUUGAGAUCAGCCUGGGCAACUUCACCAGACUGUCUCAAAAUAAAAAGGGCUGAGGAUGUAGCUAUUAUGGUUCGGAGGUGAGGUGUUCACCAAAAGCUCACUGCAAGGUUUGGAGGAGAAAUGAUUGGGCUAUAGCCCUGACCUAAUCAGUGUAUUGAUCCCUGAUGGGAUUAACUGAGUGGGAGCUGGAGGAGGUGGGUCACUGGGGAUGUGGCUAUGGAUCUGGAGAGUGGAAUCUCUCUGCUUCCUGACCACCAUGAUGUUCGGCCAUACCUCGAGCCCCAAGGAAUGGAGCUGGCCUUCUCUGGACUAAUAACUCUUGAG
rnacentral:lncRNA from 1 species